UAUACACUGGUUCCCAUAUGAUCACUAAAGUUAAACAACAUCAAGCCUGGUCAGUAGCUAGAUGGGUGACCACUUGAGAACACCAGGCGCUGUGA